GUAAUACUCCCUUCGUCCUACAAUUCUUGUCUUAGAUUUAUUUAAAAAUAAAUGUAUCAAAAUACUAAAAUGUGACUAGAUACAUUCAUAUCUGACAAAGUCAAGACAAGAAUUUUGGGACGAAGGGAGUACGUA
rfam:Hordeum vulgare subsp. vulgare, WGS project CAJW01000000 data, contig: morex_contig_62278